CCUUUUUCCUUAUUACUCUAAAUCGUCUCUUAAAUAUCCUCGACCCUUCGAACCCUAACCCCUUCGGCGAGUCACAAGGCAAUCCGUCAAGGCUCCAGCAAAGGCUACCAAAUUGCUUCUCCAGUAUAUAUCUUCUAGCUCAUGCAUACCCUAGGGUAACAGUGAGGCAACAAUUGCAUUAGUAAAUGAUGGCAUUUAUUUGGAGAAGUACGUCCAAGAUCCUAUGCAUAUUGAAUUUCAGGAAUCUCCAAACUUUAGCUCAAAUGGUAGAAAAAAAAUACUGUACCUCGGAGCGUGCCGAACGUUAGAUAGCUGUUUGAGUUGCUGAGGAGACUUUAAGGUAUACCUGUCAUUCCGCUCGCAAGCGUCGGAGUCACCUUCUGUUGUCUUUCAUUAAUACUGUCAUUUGAAUUCCAGAACAGUGAUAUAUUCAUAUAUUUGUAGUGUGUUUCAGUAGAGCUUAUGACUUUGUACUACCGGUUUUGGGGUUGUAUGACUAUUGUUCGGUUUCAGCUUGUAACGACCUGAUCGGUCGUUUUGAGAAUUCACGUCUUAUUCGGUGGCGUAAGGUCUCGAGCAACUUCGUAUUAUGUGUUAUGACUUGCGUGUAUUACCGAGUUCAGUUUUUGGAUGGUUCGGGAUCAAUUUGGAAAAAAGAUUCAUGUUUUAGAAGCUUAAGCGGCGUGCGCUCGAAUUUGGAUUUGAAGGUCCGCA